GCACUGCUGAUGAAUCCCAAACAGGACGAAACAGCUGUCCAGUGC
rnacentral:hammerhead_ribozyme from 1 species